AAUAGCCUAACGGCUGAACCAGCAAUUUGGAAGAAUGUAUAGCAAUAGCUAAGUGCAUUAGAUAGUGCAAUAUCGAUUUUAUCGAAUAAAAUUCUGAGUAAAUUUAGAUAAUGACUUAAUUUACUUACUUGUCUUGACUAAAAUGCGUGCCAGCAGUCGCGGUAAGACGUAUAAGACUAGCGUUAUUCAUCUUUAGCAGGUUUAAAGGGUACUUAGACGGUAAAUCAAGCCAAAAUAGGGACUAAUUUGCUAGAGUUACUUGUAAAGGGGUUUUAAAGUACUAAUGGAAUAGAGAUAAAAUGCUAAUAUACCUUUAUUCAUAUGAAUUAUCACGGCACUGGUAAAGGCGAAGGCAUCCCCUCAUGAGAUAACUGACGUUAAAGGACGAAGGCUUUGAGUUGCGAACAGGAUUAGAUACCCUGGUAGUCGAAGCAGAGAAUAAUGAGUGUUAUAAAUUGGAUUAAGUUUAAUUUAUAAAUGAAAGUGCAAGCACUCCACCUUAAGAGUAAUGUGGCAACACCGAAAUUGAAAUCAUUAGACCGUUUCUGAANNNNNNNNNNNNNNNNNNNNNNUAAUUUGAUGAUACGCAAAAAACCUUACCACAACUUGAAUAUUUAUAGUUAGCUAUAAUUACAAGCGUUGCACGGCUGUCUUAAGUUAAUGUCGUGAGAAUUUGGUUAGCUCCAUUAAAUUGACGUAAACCCUCGUUUUAUUUUUAUAUAGAACGGUUCACCUUUAUAUUGGAUAUGAUAAUAGGGAAGAAGACAAGUCAUCAUGGCCUGAAUGUUGU
rnacentral:rRNA from 1 species